GUCCACUCGGCUACCCUGGAGUGGACAAGGCACCUGCCCGGUAAGCAGAAGGGUGUGGGUUCGAUUCCCGCCCCUGGACA